GGCUUCAUCUCACUCACCUUUAUUCUCCUCUAAAUAUGAACUGUGCGCAUUGUUGGUUAUUUGCUUAAUUGCACAUCUAUUUGUUAGUACUACUGUAGAAAAAGAUGCAAAAUUGUCCACAAUAAUAUGUUUUGAAGCACUGUGUGAUGUUCAUUUUACUCGAACUAAUGCGAUUGUUUGCUCUACUUUCCUAGGCACUCCAUAGUUUCCACUCUGUAAAUUAUAGUUUCGGUUAGUGGCUUAGUGUAUCUCAUGCUGAUUCCAAAUAUUUGGUGCUAUCUGUCAUGUGUGUGUGCCCUACUUCUGUGAAAUGCUGGAGAUAUAGUAUUUUGAUAUGUUUAGGCUCUCCAUGUAGCUCUAAAAAGUUGAGGAAAUCGCAGACUUCACCUAGUAAGGCAUCCCAAUAAAGAAAUGAAUGGGCAAGACAGCUACCUGCCUACCUAUUGUAUUAAAAAGGAGUAUGAAGGUACAAAAUCCGGAUGGGGUUGCGAAAGGAUAAAAGAUAGAGGAAAUCUAACAAAAUUACGCUCUCAAUUAAAAAGAUGUUAGGUGUUUGCUCACCCAGUGCCAAAGCCCGGGUUUCCUCCUUGAUCAUAGCUAGCAAAAGGAGUGUUGGCAUCUUGUUGUGGUUGGUGAAUAUAUUAAUUCUCAUGCCAUACAGAUCCUUGAAAUCAAGGAAUGCUACGGUUUCUUGGGAACUCCUGGAGUCCUAGAAAAAGGAACAAACCACCAUUGAGGAACAAUCUUGGUUUGUGGCCAUUAACAUGGCUGGAUCUCAUUAAGUGAAACCUCCCUCCCAAUUUCACAGAAGUAGGUGAAUCCGCAGAUUUGGCUUGAAUGCAGGAAGUGGCAACUGAAUGUCCCCCACACAGUAUCAGGAUUCAGGACCACGUCUGAGGGGUUGCAGGGACAAUAUCCACUGAUCAAACACUGGAAGGCAGGAUUUUGCUGAUGUUGGUGGGGUGCUCAACAGGAUUGAUGCACAGAUUUGGUUUUAUGGUUGAGGAAAAGGCUAGCUUUUUGCUGGUAAUAGGCGAUGAGGGAACUAGCAGUAAGGGACCAAAGGCUCAAUGAAGGAGCAAUUGGUAGGGGUAUAGGACAGUGGGUGCAGGUGUGGUGCCUUCCUGCCAUCCUGUUUCCUUCCAGAUUUCUAGCUUUCCUCUCACCUAGUGGUUUGCUGCAUAUGCCCUUGGAAGCAAUGACAGUGCUUCUCAUAUCAAUAAUGUUUACUUUGGAAGCAAUAAAGUGACUUCGGCCAACAUUUCUAUUGUUGUUAGUGUGGGAAAUACAAUCUUAUACCUGGAUGCUGUUAUGAUAUUUUGCCGGUGUGUGAGACUAGGAAGAGAGAUUCUUGGGUCCUUCACAUACUUUGCCCACACGCAAGUGAUAGCACUGAUCAUUAGAACAAAAUGGGUUGCAAAAAGUAUUGUGUAGAAGGUUUCUUCUGGCAUUGUCUUGGAUAGGGCGAAAAUGACAAAGGCGACAAUUGAAGCCACACUGAGGUAGGUCAGUGUAGAAACUACACUGACACAUCGCCUUCCCUUACCAAAUGUUGCCAAUAGCAGUCCAACGAUCCAAACACUGGCACAUAUGGCGAACAGUGCGACCACAACUUUUUCUUCAAGACUUGGAGAAGGGUUUGUGUUAGUGCCACUAUUGAUCUUCAGCCUUCCGUACAUUUGGGUGCUAUCUGAUAUAUCUAUGCUUUGUACUUUGGUUGGGUAGAAAAUUAGAACUAGUGGCAAAGCGAAGAAGACAAAAUUAUCCAGCAGGCUUUUGAAUUUGCUCAUUUGAAUGUUGCCUCUAUUGUGUGUUCGUCUUUGUCUUCUAUUCUGUAUCCUUCUUAUCACAAUGCUUCUUCUAUUGAAUUUCUUUAACUGAAAUAAAGUUUUAGCAGUAAUUAAACAAUUAGUU